CUAAGAAUAUUCCGCAAUGGACGAAAGUCUGACGGAGCGACGCCGCGUGGAUGAAGAAGGCCGGAAGGUUGUAAAAUCCUUUUGUUGCUGAAGAAUAAGCGUGGUAGGGAAUGACCACGUGAUGACGUUAGGCAAUGAAUAAGCCCCGGCUAAUUACGUGCCAGCAGCCGCGGUAACACGUAAGGGGCGAGCGUUGUUCGGAAUUAUUGGGCGUAAAGGGCGCGUAGGCGGUUGCGUAAGUCUGGCGUGAAAGGCAGGAGCUUAACUCCUGGACGGCGUUAGAAACUGCGCGGCUUGAGUCAUGGAGGGGGAGUUGGAAUUCCUGGUGUAGGGGUGAAAUCUGUAGAUAUCAGGAAGAACACCGGUGGCGAAGGCGAACUUCCAGCCGAUGACUGACGCUGAGGCGCGAAAGUGCGGGGAGCAAACAGGAUUAGAUACCCUGGUAGUCCGCACUAUAAACGAUGUGCACUAGGUGUUGGGCCGAGCGGUUCAGUGCCGAAGCGAACGUGGUAAGUGCACCGCCU
rnacentral:rRNA from 1 species